AUAACACCCAAGGAUGAAGAAGACAUUACAAAUAGUGGUAAUUUAUAGCAAAUAUGCAGUUAUUAUAAUUUACUUUACCAUUUUUCUUGUUUGGUCAAUUUAUUUUUGGUUUGAGGAAAAUAAGAGUGUAUAUUUUUCCUGAGGAGGGACUGAUAUAAAUUGACUAAAAAUGAUUUGAGAAUGUUUAAGUAUGUAUCAAACUAUGGAAGGAAAUUAGAAGUAGUGACUUAUGUGUUAUGGGUUAGAAAAACUGUAACUACAUUGGGGGCUCAUAUGAAGGUUAUGGUAACAAGGGGGGGGUGUUAUUUCUAGAAACAGUGUAUAUUGAUAGACAAGAUAAUUCACAGAAAAGGAAGGACAGUUGGUCUUGUAAAAAUAUAGGGACAAUUCUAAAAGUAGAUAGAACAUUACACACACCUAGAUUAUGGUAAAAGUAAUAAGUAGUGGCAUUUUGAAGAAGCUUAGGACUUAGUUUUGUUAGGAUUGGAUAUUCUUCCAACUAGAAAACACUUGACUGAUUACAUGCAAUUCUUGCAGCAGUUACGGUAGGGACCAUAAUUUGGCUAUCAUUAUGAAUAUUUUUGUGGGAGGAGGCCAGGUAUUUAAGACAGAAUGUUUACAUAGGGCUGUUAUUUAAAAAUUAAGAUUUAGUGAUCCUGCUAUAAGAAGAAAGUCUGUUGUCAGGAAAUAACCCAUGUGUUAGUGUGUAUGUCCUCAGGAAAAAACAGCACAUAAGAGGCCAGAUGGAAGGGCAUAGACUGAAUUCUGGAGACUGAGUGUACAUCAAGAUACAUCGGGCUGGGGAUAUACUUCUUACAGCACCUGCAGUGGUAAAGAUUGUCAUGUCUCUCUUUGGUGGGUGCAUAAGUCUCACAAGAAGUAAAGUCCAGCUGAAUAAUGGGUGAGCUUGAAAACACCAUGACAGAGGACGUGAAACAAAACAAAAGAGAGAGACUAGAUUCUACUGUAGACAUACUGGGUUGAGUUUGGGGGUUAUUUGUUUUAUUUGAUAAUGUAUCAUGUGAAUAAGGAUAUAUGUUAGGGUAGUUGUACUCUAAACCACAUGUUGAAGGCUCAAUGUGGAAGCCCAUUCCGUGUUAAAUUACUUUAAGAAGGAAUAAUGUUGAUUAAGGUUAUGCACAUGUUUAUCAGUUGAAACAGAGCAGAUGGGGAACUAAGUAAAAAAUGACAUGGUUUGGGAACACCUCUCAGAACCUGCGGCCGAAAGGGGAAGACUGGAUGAAAGCACGAGGAAGCCAAUUAGGGCCUCCAUUUUUGUGGAGUCCAGCAGAAAAGUAUCCUGGAGGCAUAGAGUCAGUCUUAUGUUUAGGAAACCAGAUGGAGAAGGGUUCUCCAGCUUCAGCUGGAAUGUCAGUUUGUGUGAUGAGUGAUGGAAGUAAGAGAAUGUAUGGUGUAAUCAUAGAACAGAGGCCAUAAGUCUCUAAGUAUGAAUGCCCCAUAGAAAGAAGGCAGAAAUCUGAACCAGGAUGAGAGGUUCCACAUCUGAUGAUCCAAGGGGACCAGAAGGAUCUCUCCCAGUGAUACCAGGAGAUCGAGUCUACGUUUGAGUGUUCCGAAGGAAGUGGGAUCAGCCGAGGAGGGAAGGACCCUACGAGGUGGCAACAGCCACAAACACGGCCGUCCAAGUGAAAGGAAGCAAGACGUGGUAUCAUCUAAACCACUGCACCCGAGUCCCGACGGAGAGAAGGACACAACCAUACAGAGAUGAGGACACAGAGGAUGCUGAUUCACCAGAAGGGACCCCGGAGGGAGCAGGAGCAGCGGAAUCGAUCAAAGCGCCGGGGAGGAAUCAAGAAAAUGGCAGACCAGAUACAACGAGUGCAUCGGCUAACACACUCAGAAGAACCGACCAGGGAAAAAGAGCCUGAAAAGAAAAGAGACAAACAACCAAAGUUUCCUCCAGUAUGGCCAGAAAGCCCAGAAGUGGGAGGGGGUAACAUGUCUGCCACUCCUGAUGAUAUACUUGUUGGGGCAGGCUUUGUUGACGGAAGCCUUCUACAGUGGGACCCCGAGGUAUCGCCUAAAGAAGGGGAACAUCUCUUCCCUGAAAUGGACGCCUUCCCAGAUGGAAGCCCAGUUCGGGCUGAGGAGGGAACAACAUGCGAAGAGAGUGGAGGAGAAGCCUUAUCAGGAACAACAAGUGAAGAAAGCAGAGGAGAAGCCUUACCAAGAGCAGAAGGAGAAAUCUUGCAAGAUGAAAGAAAUGGGGAUUUCCCCAAAAUUGACUUUUCAGCUCUUGAAUUGUCUCCAUAAUGAACAAUUGAAGUUAGACCCAUAGAAGAACAAUGAUAUUGACAUAACAGAAGUAACAGUGAACGCUAGAAUAGCAACAACAGACUCACGCACAAUCAAGAUGUAGGGUGGAAACAGGAAGAGAAGAGAGGAACCAGUCAAACAAUCUAAAAAGACUGACAAGGUUAGAAUCUCUGUCCCACCUCAACAUAUAACUGAAACAGAAGAAUAGAAGACAAAAGGAUCAAACCCUUACCGGAGAUUGCAUUCGGUGGAUGGACAUAUCAUCGAACGAAGAGAGAAGUCAUUUGGGACUCAAAAGGAUGUGACCUGACGUUAACCAAAGAAGUAGACGAGUGGGUGCUCACCAUGAAUCAGAUUGAACCAGUUGAAGGUGAAGAAUUAAUAGGUGAAAUAAUGAGAACAAGAUUGGCUGAAGGGAGUAGUUCCUCAGUCAUUCAGAAUUGGUCUUACGCCAAUACCUAAACAGGAAGAGCCUGCGGUAGCUAGAAAGCAUCAGAACCAGGAGGGUUCUUUACUGACAUUUUGAACUUUUUGACUAACUUUAAUGACCUACCUCAAGAUAAGAACAUUGCAAAGAUGACAGACAGACAUACCAGACUCUGAACCACUCAAGGACACCACAUGAAAAGAAUAGUGAAGAAUGAGUGGUACGAAUGGGCUAAGUAUACAGCAGAAAUAAACAUAGAAUGGACAAUUGUAUUUUGUGUAGAAAAUCACCUUUGUCUGAUCUUUUGAUAGUACCUGAACCUGCAUCAUUUGAAGAAUGUGUUAAAUGUAAAAUGUUCAAUAUUCAGAGAAAAUACUACAUUCCCUUGUGUGACAUAGAAUGUAGGAUUGCUCGAGGGAGCACUAGAGGCAGAACCAUGUUAAACGAGACUGGAUUAGGAGACAAGGAUUGUGCUGCCUAUGACAUUAAAACUGAAUUAAAUGGACCUCAAUUAGACAGAAGUACUGUGGUUAAAGGUAAAUAUGAAGGUUUUUACAGCCAUAACACCGAAGGAAUUGGUGUAGGAAACACCACUGUAGAAUGUGAUACUAUUUGGGUACUAGAGACUGCAGGGGUUCGUAGGAAUAAAGAUAAAGGGUUGGUGACGAAUAGAAAAGGGUUGUGUGGUAAAAUAACUCAGGUUGCGCCAUCUCUUAUUAUGCUAAAAAAUCAGGACAGAAGUAUUGCGGAUAGUUUCUGGAUGUGUGGGAAUGACAAACUGUUGAAUGUACUGUACUGCCAGAUGGAUGGACGGGUCUUUGUACCUUAGUUAGAGCAAUUCAACAGGUAGUCAUCAUGGGGUGAUUUAAUAAUGGUUAUGUUAACUCUAGAGUUAAGAGGGCGUAUGAGAAAGACACUGAGGUAUACUUUGAUGCAAUUGGACAGCCUAGAGGGGUACCUCGGGAGUUCAAGGCAAGAGAUGAAGUUAGAUCUGGAUUUGAAUCUAUAUUUUUGUGGAUAACACCAAAUAAGAAUUUAGAGUGGAUUAAUUACAUAUACUAUAACCAACAGAGAUUCAUUAACUAUAUUGACUCGGCUUUAACGGCGUUGGGGGAACAGGUACAGGAUACCAGUAAAAUGUCUUGCCAAAAUAGACAGGCUCUCAAUUGGCUUUUUGCAGAGAAGGGUGGAGUUUGUUAUGUUCGGGGAUGAUUGUUGCACCUUUAUUCCCAAUAACACUGCGCCUAAUGGAUUCUUUGCUGUCGCUAUGGCUAAACUUAAAGGGUUAAGAAAAGAGGUUAAGAAAAAUGCUGGGGUGGACUCUCAUGUUUGGGAUUGGUUGGACUUAGCAUUGGGGAAAUAGGGAGCCAUGUUUGCUAGGACGGCCUUUAUGCUGGAAGGGGGGUUAUUGGCUCUGGGUAUUGUAUUUUGUUGUGUUUUACCCUGGGUGAAAUCACUUGUGAUCCAGACAACGGUUAAACAGAUGUUUGUAAGUAGAGCUGACACUCCGGUGAUAGUUGAUCCUGUGCCGGGUAGGCCAGGCCACUAUACUGAUGAAAAUGGACAGUUAUGCUGUCAUUCCAAAUUCAUAAGAAAGUCAACUGAUGCAUAUCCACAAAAAGGGUCAUUUCCGUAGUAAGUACAAGAGGUGUUAUGUAAGGUCUACUUUUGCUCACGGCCUUGUGUUUUAGUAUGUUUUGUCAAAUGUUUUUAUAGGUAUAUCAAUGAAUAUAUCUGGUUUCUUUUAAUUAAAAGUUAGUUUUGCCUUCUAAAAUGCUAGGUUAUAUUUAAAAACAUGUAGGUAACAGUGGGAUAUCCCGGUUACAAGUGUCUACGGACCAUGUCCUUAAUCUUCUAACAGAGAUUGGUAUUGAUGGUAUCACGGUUGUUGGAGAGGUGUCUGAGAGGGAGAAUCAUGUGGAAAGCUUAAAUUUAGAAUGAUGUGUCAAUUUUAUUUUGUAACUACAUGGAGGCCUAGUGUUUUCUCAUAUUCAAUUUAUUAUUUGACUCAUUGCUUUAUUAUAUAUAUUUUUAUUUUUUGCGUAGCUGAGAACCUCAGACAAGGUUAUGUAUUUACAUGCUCAUGCUUUAACAAAAGAUAAUGUAUUAUUUUUUGUUUCUAUACCGAACUAGAUAUUUUACUCUUAUGAAAUACUAGAGAUGUUUGGUGUAGGUGAUUAGGAAGUUUUAUUUUUUUAUUAUUUUUUAUUUUUUUAUUUAAAAAUAUUUUUUUUGAUAAUCGACUGUUGAUAUUAUGUUCCAUAUGUCCUUUUUAAGUUUUUGGUGCUUAUUAAAGCACCAGAGGGGGGUUAUGUGGGAGAAAUUAGGUACAUAUAUGGAUAAAUAUAUUGUCCUAUAUAAUGGCAUUUGCCAUUCUGGUAAGGUACAUUGUCUAUUGUAUAGGACAGGAAGCCAGAGUGGGGCCAUGGGAGAGGGCAACACCUAGGGCAGCUGGACAUACAAAGGUCAGAGGUUAUCUAAGGAGGGGGUCAGCCAAAGGACCAAUUGAUGGAUUACAGACAUCAAUCACAUCACAGGAGACAAGUCUGUUUGAUCUUAGACAACCAUAUGAAGAGAAGGCGACCAGAACAGCUAGGCACCCUAAAGCUAAAGGAGAUGAAAGACACCAAAAGGGACACAUGGAGUUAAUUACAGGGUAUGAACACAGGCCACAGGAAAGGGGAAUGUAUAGUAUUUUUAGUAUAGCUGAGCAUGCUAAAAACAGAAGAGACACAUAGUCUGCUGACCCUAGAUAACACACAAACAGGAGAACGCAUUAAGCUGAGUGAAGGGUCAAAGCAAGGGUCUUGUCACCAUUAGGAUCUAAUGGAAAGCAGAUGGGGGCGUUAUUGGGCUGAACAAGCAGGAAGCACGGAUUGGGAUGUAACUUAAUUUGCAUAUGGGAGGGACUUAUAUGGUAGGUGUAUAACUCAGAGCGAGGGCUCUGAAAAAGUGUGUGUGUUCCGCGGACCGCUCCGGCUUAUGAUACUGUUGUAUUAAAAGUCUAUAUUGAUUUUCACAAA